rnacentral:lncRNA from 1 species
UUUUUUUUUUUUUUUUUUUGGUUUUUGGCUUAAUUACAAUUAGAUUGGUUGAUAUCAUCAUUGAUUCAUUACCAUUCAUGCAAUCGUCUUAGAGGCUGUCUAAAUUUGUUAGGAAUGUAAGAGUCUUGCCCAUUUUUAACUUGCUAUAGCUAGCUAUUCUUGCUGUUCAUAAUUCUGAAGUUCCACAUUUAUUAUUUCUUGGUUUUGAAUUUCUAUAUAGUAAUCCUUUCACCCAUAUCGUUCACUUUUAUAAUUUUUUUCUACUAUUUUCUUUUUUUGUCCAGAAACACAGGAAGCAUAUAAAUAAAGCAAGAGAAGUAUUGGUUAGAAAUCCACCUAUUUUUGAACCCAACGUGAGUAGAUAUCCAUCCCUGAGUGAGAGAAAAAAACCAUCUUUCUUUGAAUCCAAUAUGACUAGAUAUCUAACCCCUCAACCUACAACCAUGAGGACGAGAAAAAUACCUAGUAUUUUCGACACCCUGAUGGGAACAAAUCCAACUGAACAUAGUCAAAGCCCCUAUACUCCUAGUUUUGCUCCUUCUCAAUUUACACACCCAAAAACUUACCUUAGUGAGGGCACAGCUUAUAACCAAAUGGACGCACUCAAUCAGCUGCUUGCUAAUCCCAGUAACAACCCGCCAAUGACCAGCAAUCAUCAAAAUUCAUAUGCAAAUUUUGGAAAUCAAGAAUCUUCCCAAUUGAACCAUGUUCAGUACUCAGCUGAUCAGGGCAAAGGAAAACAAGUUUUGUCUUCCUUUGGAGGAUAUAAUGACAAUCAUGUUGCUCCAGCUGAUGAUUUAUGCAAGACCAACGUGGAUGCUCUGAUUGAAGCAAUUAAAAAGGAAUUGGCAGAUGCUCUUGGAGCUGAUGCCAAUUUGCGUCAAGAUAUGAAGUUCUUGGCCAGGUACAAUAAUGUUGUUCCUCAACAAAGCUCACACCAAACACCAUCCGAGGUGUUUUCUGCAGCUUGUAAAGACUUAUUGGCACCAGCAGAGACAGAUUUCGACAUUGGGGAACAGAUGACUUACACUUAUAAAGAUCUUGCAAUGAUUUUGAAUGACUUGAAUGCUGGUAGUGAAGGCAUUUCACGGUCAAGCUCAGACCAAGAACCGCCCGUGGAGUUUUCUACAGCUUGUGAAGACUUGGCACCAGCAGAGACAGAUUUCGACAUUGGGGAACAGAUGACUUACCGUUAUGAAGAUGUUGCAAUGAUUUUGGAUGACUCGAGUGUUGGUAAUGGAAACAAAACAGGAUCAAGCUCAGAGUCCCCAGACCCGCCAUUGCCAGACAAUGUUGCUGAUGACGAUCAUGAUUUCACUGAACGGCUCAACAUAGAAGAUUUUUCUGAGCUUUUUGAAAUCUUUCCAGACAUUCAAGAUGGAGCUCCUUAGUUGGGCUUGCUUCUGAAUUAAACGAGAAGAAUAGCUGGCUAUCUUUUAGUUUGUUUUUAAGACAUUAGAAGAAGUCUAAGUUCUAAACAUUGAGCAAAAUAUAGAAAUGGACCUUUAUCCAAUGGAGAGUUGCAUUGAAGUAUGGUUUAUAAUGAUUUAUAGGAAAGAUGCCAUCUUUUGUUCGAAAAGUAUAGGAAAUGACGCAGAACACCUUCUCAAAAACAAUAUCUAAAAGGUGAAAAAAAUAAGAUACUACUGGUAUACCGUUCGUGUGUGCCUUUUGUUUGAUCUACCAGACCAACAACAAAAACAUCGGAAUGAAAUUGAUGACAACAACAGUCAUUGCAACGGUUUUCACGAUUUUGAGUGCUAGGCAUACGUCUGAAAAUGUUAACAAGAAAAAGAUACAUGCGAAGCUUAUUGCUUGGACCUUUGUUCGUUUAAGAUGAGAUGUGCUCAAUGCCCAAAAUGAGAAAAUUCUACGACACCUUAGAUUACAAUUUAAUGAUACCAAUCUUGGUCGAAGUAAGAAUAAAGUUGCAAUAAUCAAGAAAAGGAACUUCCUAUAUGAUAUUAUACCUUUCAUGUACAGGAACUAGUUAUACAUCCAUGGCCUAUUUUAGUCGUCUAUAUUGGUUAUAGGGCCUUUAAACCAAUACCUAGCACUAAAGACCCAAGCAGUGACAGUAAGAAUAAAUAGGCCACCAACAGCAACUGGCGUAUAGUUGAGAGUUUGAUCGGUAACGGGAUAGGCAACGGGCAAGGAGAACAGCACAGAGAUGGUUGCAACCCACACCACAGCAAUCCAACCAACAAGGACCCCAAAACUUCCCAAAUUGAAAGGCCCUGGGGUGAAAGAUUUUCGUGCCAAAGUCACCCUAAAGAAGAUAGGUAGGGCAUAGGCAAUGUACAGUCCAAUAGUUGCUAUGGAUACCAUGGCCUGAAAUGCGACCAAGCUCCCAAGAGACUGCCCAAAAAAAAAAAAAUGUAGAGCGUGCGAUAUUCAGUUAAAGGAAUGAUGAAUAAAAACGAACAGUGGGUGCUCAUCUUAAUUGGUAAUAGCUAAAGUAAAUGCACAUAUGCAAGUAAACUCACACUGCAUUUUAAAGGUUCUUAAAAUUCAAUAGAAAGAGAAUUUGCACUUCAUUUUAAAGAUUCUUAAAAUCUGACGUGCACUCAAAGUCUUGUGGUUCCCCUGGUCUACAGGAAAAUGCAGAAAAGAGAGGUUCAUACCGUAAGUGCCAUGCAGAAUGCAAUAAAAGCUGAAAGCCAAACUGCAUUUAUGGGAACCUCUUGCUUGUUUACUUUGUGCCACAAGGAUGACAAAGGCAUAGCUCCAUCCCUUGAGAAUGCAUAGGCCAUCCUGAGAAUGUAUAUCAAUUUGACCGUUAAUGGAAAUCUUGCUACACAUGAAGAAACCAGCAGAAAAAAUUAAAAAGAAUGGUUACCUUGAAUUGCUAGUUAUUGAGCUCAUGCCGCAGAAAAAUAUGGCAACAGCAACAAUACACAAGCACACAAUUCCACCAGCUCCACUCCCAUAUCUACUUUUGAACACUUGGUAGAAAAUUUCAGCGAUGGCAUAACCACCAGCAUCAUUGUCCUUGCUCAAAAGAUUUGGGAUGUUCGUAACUGAAAAUGUGAUACCAAGUAUAUAACCCCAUCCAACAAUUAUAGAUAUCCCGAUGGAACUUAUUAUUCCCUUAGGGCCAUUCUUAUCUGCACUCUUGGUUUCCUCUGACUAGCAGCAGAAGUAAUAAUGUAAGAGAAAUUAUCUAACAAAAUUUGUUUGGUUAAGAAUAAGAUAAAUGACUUAAAAACUGGAGAACAAGCUCUCAAAAUGUGAGAUCUGAAUUUCUUGCAGAGCACAUAGCAGAUAAGCUAGAUGCCUAGAUGAUUAAUCGAAAAUGAAACCAAAUAUCUGGUAAUCAGUUUUGUAAUCUAAAGUACCUUUUAGCUGCUGGUUGCUCAAUUGUUCCAUUCUGAUAUGAAUGUUGUUCUUACAUCAGACAGUGCUAGUAUAUGAGCAUGACAGUACUUAAUCCUUGAGAUUCUUUAUCUCAUAGAUUUUAUUUAAGAAUGUGAUAGCAUAAUCAAACUCCAGAAAGGAUAAGGGCAAUACAUAGAGAUAGAUGUAAUUUUUAUUGUAUUUGCGUCAUCAAAGUCCCAACACAAAAAAUGAAUAAGCGCAAUAAAUUAGAGAUGAAACUUACCAUGUGGGCAGAUGCAUCAUACCCAGUCAGCGUAUACUGGCUCAUAAGAAGCCCGAGUAUAAAUAUGUACAAUUUACUGUUGACGCCUACCCCAUUUUCAGUGUUGAAAUGAGUAAACACAAACUUAGCACUGGCUCUUUCAGUUGCAACUGUAGGAAUCACAAUCAUGAGUAUAAAGACUCCUGAAACCAAAAGAGUAUCUUGUAAGACAAUCAGGUGAGAAUUGAAACGGACUUAUAGAACAGUUUUGUCGUCAGUCUACCUAGUACAUUCCAUGCAGCAGCAAGCUGUCCAAAGAAUGAUAACCACGAGAUAGGAAGACUGUUUAAGACAGCAUGUGAGAGCAAAAUUGCAGCAUGGAUGGCAAUAACUACAUACUUAGAGGCCUCAUAUCCCCCUCCAGAGGUUCCACCAGUACUCAGAAGGAUGAUCACCUGAAUCAGCUGUGCAAGUGAAAAAUCCACGCUUGUUGUAACUGCCCACUGGAAAGAGAAAUUUCUUUACUAGUUAAACAUAAUUGUGGUGUCACCAAGCAUGAAGAGGAUUGACAGAAAUAGAGUGAAGAAUCUUGAACUGCAGACUAAAAGUUUAAAUACCUGACCAACAAUGUUGAACCUGUAAAGCCAAAACAAGAAAAACAAAAAAUAAGUACUCAGCCUCUACCAAUGGAUUUAUAGCAAGACAUAGCUGGCGAUAGUUUAUCAAACAGAUUGCUGCCUAUAGAAACCAAACUCUACAUAGUAAGAGGGUGAUCCAGAUGAAGAUGGUCCAUUAUGCCACUACCCAAGAACUCAGAGAAAAUGGAGUACAAGAACUUCGUCUUGAUUCAUUCGAGCAAAAACUAAAUGACCAAUAUAAUAGGCUUCUCAGAACUAUAUAAGUUAACUACACAUCACCAGAAUCUCAUCCAUUUAUGGCAAAACACCAAACGUCCACAAAAGUCAGUAAUUCAUGAAAUUUCUUAUAAUAGUACUUUUUGCAAAGGUAGGACAGCAUCGUGUAUUUAAGUAAAAUUUACUUCAGUUACAGAAGAAAUGAAGUCCAAUAAUGGAACUAAAGCAAAAGGUGAGCUUAUAGAACUAACACCUUACAUGGGAAACAAUGUCUAGGUCCAAAUUUCAUCUGUUCCUAAAAUUGCUAAUCUUAUGGAAGAUAAAUUCUAACGUCUAACUUUCAAAGAACAAUACAAGACCAACGAAACAUAGGCAACUAAUUGGCGCUGACCUCAAAAAAAUUUUAAAAAAAUACCAACUGUUAUAAAUAGGUUGGGCUCCCUGAAUUGCAAAUUGAAAUAAAUGACAGCCACUGGUAGACCCCUAGCAAUUGAAACAGAGAAGAAUACCCUCAAUUAAAUGUCAUUAAUUAUUCAAACAAGCAAGAUUUUCAAUUACCAGCCAGUGAUCCAGGAUGCAAAGGGUGCCCAACUAGGGCCAGCAAGCUUAGCACUCCAAUAAUAGAGUCCUCCAGAAGUAGGAUAAGAAGAACAUAUCUCAGCCAUGGAUAAUCCCACAACCAUAGUAAAACAACCAGCAAUUAUCCAUCCAUACACCAAAGAAACAGGCCCACCAAAAUUCAACCCCGUAUUAUACAGUGUAGUCACACCAGUCAACACUGAUAUAAUUGAAAAUGAAAAUGCAAAAUUCGAAAAAACCCUGCACCAAAAAAUCCCAAAAAAAAAACACAAGAACCAAAACAAAAAAUAUCAAAUACCCACAUCAGAAAUCAGAUAAAAAACAAUAUUCCGAAUGAGUUAUGGAUUGAAUAAUUACGAGAGGUCUCGCUUGAGUUCUUGCUUGUAUCCUAGCUCAUGCAAGCGUGCAUGGCCUGAAUCAAUGGAUGAUGUGCCAUUGCUUUGUUGAACACGUUGUGGAAGCACUUCGCUCUUAUCUUCACGAUUCCACACCAUUUUUUUGAAAUUCAAGUGAUCAAAGAGAGAGAUGAGGGAGGUGUGUACUCUUAUUCAAGAUAUGAAACCUUGAAUUGUGCUUUAGUUAUCAAUACACACCCUUUUAUCUCUCUCUUUCUGUCCGAGUAGCUGAGAGUUUUCUUGAGAACUUCCAGCUACUGUUUGUUCAUGGAAAUGAUGAUGGAUUUAAUAUAGAUUCCGUGAGAGGAAUAUUCACUGAACCAUCAUCAAAACCGUGCUUUUUCCUCUGCGGACACUUUUCGGAAUCAAAACCGUGCUUAAUUAGUCUGUUGGGGGUAAUUAUUUUGGUGGAGGAAGCAAAUGUGAUGGUCAACCAAAGCUGUGGGAAAGUCAAAGAGACAACUGGGGUUAGUUGGGUUGCCUUUUCUUUAUUAAUUUAUUUUCUUGAUUUUGUGAUAUAUAUUUUUUUAUUUUUUCAGAUUUAUGGGAAAGAGAAAUAAAGGAAUCUCUUAUUGAGAUGAGCACUUUAAAAAAUUGGCUUUUGCUCAGCAUACCAAAGAUUAGGUAAUCGUACCAUCUCUUAGGCCAUCCUAAGGACAAUUGAUCGAUUUGUACAUUGCUUUUGACAGUGACUAAUUUGGGGUUGCGGUCCCGGGAUGCGAAGGAGGGGGGGGGGGGGAAGGGAUAUUUUAAUGACAAUAGAUAUUUUAUUGGGUUACGUUGAAUUUAAUUUUAUUUAUAAAAAUUAUAUUUAUAUAAAAUAAAAAAAGAUUAAAAAUAUAUUUACGAAGAAUGUCAUAAUUUUUUUGUCGAAGAAAACUACAAUCGAAGUAAGUUACCAUUUCUUUUGCAAUCGCUGACUUAAUUAUUCUAAACAAUUUGAAUUUUAAAAGCUUGAAAUGUUGAUGAGAUUAUACCAUUUCUCUUAUAUGAAUGACAACGGUACCGACGACAUAUUUUUCUUCUUGACAUGGUAAGAUUUUCAGGGGAAAAAAAAGGUUUUCUCACCUCAUUUUACUUCAUAAGAUCUAAACUAAAAUCUUAAAUUAUUUAAAUACAAAAGAAACGAGUCAAGAAGAAACAUGUGAACACCGUGUAGUCAUUUUACAUUACAGGUGUGUAGGACAGAAAACGAUGAAAUGGUAGGGAGCAAAUGUGGCAGCUUGAGAAGAAGAAAACAAAACAAAUAGCGAGAAGAACAAAAGGAGGAGAAAAGACAAAUUUGUGUAGCUCAUCCUAAAUGCUAAAUUUAUGUGACAAAAGAAGCAAGGAACAAAUAGAGUUCAUAUCAUAGUCAUUGUUAGUCUUUUAUUUUUUUUUUUGGUCGACAUGAUAACUUUUAAUUUAGACCUACUCCUACGUUACAACAAGGGAAAGGAUUGGAUUCCAAGGAACCGAUGAAAAAUUCAGAGGAGACUAAAUCGCUAUCGGAUCAGACGGAUGUCAUUGCACUCGCUGAUAAAUUUUUUCAGAAAAUCCUGCAGAAGAAUGCAAGUCAAGAAAUUUGAUCUCUUGAUCUACAUCCAAUGAGAGCUUUAAACCUCUUCUAGUGGCCAACUACUCUAUAAAUAGUUGGUACAGUCAUUGUAAGUCGAUUCUCUUCUUUUCAAUGUUCAAAACAAAGUUAAAAUUGUCGAAGACUUGAGAGCCGUUUAGGUUUUAUGGCCGGAACUGGGCAGCAGAGUGAUUUGCAUUACAAUUUUUGCAUGUGAACAAAUCAACUGAGAAUCUAAUAUUCAAAUGGAAAAAGAUGAAGAACCAAAGAAUGCGGCUACUGCAUCUCACGUGCGAAAAUGUGGCCUCCAAGAAAUCCAGUAAAUGGCUUGAUUGUGUUUGGAUAGGUAUUACUAUUGAGUAAAUCUUAAAUUCAAAUGAGUUGUCAAUAUAUUCACAGUGAUUGUGUAUACACUGUUAUUGUAUAAAUGAUUAAUUUAUUGUUAAUUUUUAAGAAAUUAUUUGCUUACAUCACAAAUAUAUUUUUUAAUACACAUUUUGAUCUUUUCAAUUACCUUUUAUUUUACAUAUAUCACAUCACGAAAAGUGUUAUAAUAAUUAUUCCAAAUAGUAUUUCAAAUUUGUCAUUUGUUGCAAUAAACUAGGUACUCCAGAAAAUAUUCCCAAAAAAAAUAAUAACAUAGAAUGAGCAAACGUGCAAGUAUUUUUUUGCUCAAAUUUCAUACAUAUAAAAUUAUCUUUAUGUUGUUAGUCAUGAAAAUAAAAUGGAAAGGGUUAAAUCCUAAAUAUGUUUUCUACCUUUCAUUUUUUCUUAAAGAAACGUUAAGAACCUAACAUCAUGCAUGUGGAUACUUACAAUUUCUUUUUUUUUUUAAUUAUCUUUUUGGAUUAAAUUCCAUUCUUUUGGAGCAAGGUGUUUCAAUAUUUUGACUAAGCUGAAAAGCAAAUAUAGAUUUACUAUUUUUUUUAUUCUUAUAAAAGUGCAAGAUAAUAUUAGUGCUAUUAUCUCAAAUCGCAAUCGGACCAAGGCAACCCAUCAUAUCCAAUGUUGUUGCUAACCAUUAUGGUCCGUAAACAGACUGAAAUAUUGCGAAAACAGCACCGACUAAUUUGAACCGAAAAAUGAUUGGAGAAUUGUCCAUUGACCCAGACCCAUACAAGAAAACAAUCCUUCUAAUUGGUAUUAUUGCAUCUAAAGUCUACAAACGCUGCAGUUUUACUUGAAUUAAUUGGCGAUUGCGUAACUAACCGAUUAGCUAGCUGAUUAUUUCAAGUUAUACACCAGCUCUUUUUUUUUUCUUCUUAUUUUGUCUUAUUAAUGGGGCUUGCUAUGGGUCAAGUAAUGUGGACAACAAAUCAUUUAUUUUGGGUAGAAAAAUUGUCAGAAUUCAGUCCGCUUCAAUUCUGAAAGCGAUCCUGCUCAAACAGUUUAUGAAGUUGAAUUUCUUUCUCUAAAUAUUUUAUCUAGACAAGGACGAAAGAAUGAAUCAAAUUACUUGAUAUUCGAAACGAACUUGGUCCUGUUAAAACUAGUUUGAACUUUAUUUUUCAACUAAUCAAACUAAACACGAAUAGUAUUUCGUGUUCGAUAAAAUUUGAAAGUAGACUAUGAACUCAGCUCAAUUAGCUUAAAGAUUGAAACUUGAAAAUUAAGUGAAAAAAACUCAAAACUAAUUAAUGCGAGAUCGGCUUGAUAAAAGGUUGUCGAGAGUUUGGCUCGGUUUCGAAGUUGUUAAAAUAAACAGAGAAAUUUGAACAAUGGAGUGUUCUACUUUAUUAGACUCAUUCACACUUCUAUCUAGCCAUAGUCCUAAAAAACUCAAAUUCUUCAUGGAAAUAAAUUUGGAGAGAAUUAAUUUCUUGUUAACAGCCAAAGUUCUCUUUCAAUUGAGGCUUAGGGUGGCAACGGGUGGAGUUGAGUUUGAACACUAAUCUAUUCGAACUCGAUCUUGAAGUAUAUUUGUUUGAGUUUGACAAACCUUCAAUUUCGAAACUCGAGCACGACUAGUGAGAAGUAUGAAGUGUCUGAGAUCAAGUUCAAAAAGUCACUUGCUCAAGUUCAAGUUACUCGAGUUCAAGUGAUAAAAAAUGUAAUUUGUUAUAAGAAAAUAGGUUCUGUUUAUGAGCUACUUGAUUUGUUUGCCACUGCUAAUAAAAUAGCUAUUGCUUUCAACACUUGGAUUCGAACUUUAGGUGAACUUUACCUAGGGCCCGAGGUUCAUGAAAAUCAAUUCGAAUAUGGGCCCAAUAGCAGCAGAUAUAUUCGUUGAGACACAAUGCAGAUUAUCAAUUAAGGACAAAGGUUUCAACAAUCUACACAGCGUCAAAAUGCAAAAAAUAUUUGUGUUAAUAUGAUUUUGCGGAAGCACAAAAAUAAGAAGACAAACAAUACUGAUGGUAGUUUGAUUACGUACCAGCCAGUGAGCCAAGAUGCGAAUGGGCUCCAUCCGUUACCACAGAGUAUAGCACUCCAAAAAUAUAGCCCAGCAGAAGUCGGGUAAGCAGAGCAGAUCUCAGCCAUUGACAGGCCCACAAUCAUCGUCAUUAAACUAACAAUAGGCCACCCGUAAACCAUAGCAAUGGGCCCACCAAACGACAGGCCCUGAUUGUAUAGUGUUGUUAUUCCCGUCAUGACUGAUAAUAUUGAAAAAGUGACCGAAAAAUUGGCCAGGAACCUUCAUACACCAAAAACACAAUAAUGAAAACGAAAAUUUACAAGUCAUUGAUCUUCAUAAAAUUUACUAAACCAGGUAGUUAGAACUGGCGUUUAUUUUCUUUUCUUUUGAAGUAGAAAAAUGUCGUUAAUGUAAAAAUCAUAAGACUUGUAGAAUUGACCCCAUAUAAAGUAACAGUAGUAUCUAAAAUAAACACUCAUUAGGUACACCGAAUAUUCACAUAUGUUCAGUGCCCUCCUAAAAUGUCCCUCCAAGAAUGCUGUGAGUGUGUUUGGAUAGGAUAUUAUUUGGGAUAAUUUUUUGAAAAAAAUACUAUAACAUUUUUUUAACGUGAUGUAUGUGAACUAAAAAGAUGGUUCAAGGUAUGUAUAUGAUAUAAGCAAAUAAAAUUAUACAAAGAAUAAAAUUCUCUCUCAAAAAACAAGGAAAUGUAAUUGUUUUUGGUCCAUUUGAUACUAAAUAGUACAAUAAAAAUAUCUAACAAAAGAUUACUCCCUGCCCCCCUGAAGUGGAGUCAAAUCAUAGAUUACUGAUUUAACGAAAGAAUUAAUGAAUUGGAAGACAAUAGCAUAAACAAAACUUGAAGGGUUGCCUUUUCUUUUGCAAAUUUCUUUUUCAACAACUGUUCAAAAUAGAUACCAUGUUUCCUAUGAAAUAAACAAGUUUUAGUGGACCAACGUGUCUUGUUUAUCUGAACCAUCCAAGGUGCUUCCCUUCUUUAUCACAAUUAACCAAGUAAACCUUUAGAUUCCACUAGCUAGAUUGUCAUGCAAUGUUGCAGUGAUGAAGUAAAUUAAGGUGGAUUUCAAGAACUUUGAAGCAGAAAUAUAUGCUGCUUACGAAAGGCCACGGCCGAGCUCUUGCUUGUAUCCCAGCUGCUUCAACCGCGUUGAAUCCUCAGAAAUACGAUCAAUACCAACGUUUUCAGCGUCAAAUUCACCAAGCGGAUAAUAGAGACCAGCUGCUUGAUUGCCAUUAUGCAAUCUUGAUUCAUCAGCAAAUUCCAUUCUGCAAAUAAAUCCCAAGUGUCAACACAAGCCCUCUUCAGCUAUCCUAUGGCAGAUGCCACUUCUGUUAUACUUCCGGAUAUCUAAGAGUCUAAAGCGUAGCAACCUAAUCUGAUUUGUUGGUUUCUUUUACUCUUUUAUGGUGUCUGAGAAGAAAACUAAAGGAGGUUGAAGAAGGGUGAGGAGUGAAGAGUUGUGGCAAAGCUAUAAAUUCAGAGUUGAGAUUUUUGCUUAUUUAUUAAGCAUGCAAUGAUUCGUGCACGCAAGAGGGGAAAUGAGGCAAUUAUAUGCGUAGAAAGGCUUGGGUGAUUACAUUUGCAUGAUGUGACAGCUGCCUAAAAAUUGACAACAUGGGACGAAGUUCUUGAAGCCCACAUGAAAAUAUCAAGCAAGUACUAGAUUUUGAUUGGGAUUCUGUUGAAUACUUUUCUGAUUGAGAAUAUUCAUCUGGCUAGUUAAGGCAAAUGUGUGACUUGGUGCAUGUGAUAUGCAGUAAAUUGAGAAGGAUUUUCGAAUUUGCUCGGACAAGAAAAGUUCAAGAAGAUGAGAAAAUAUAAGCAAUAUUAGUGUUUGAGACCAAGGGUUAAUUAAUGUGCCUAAAGGCCUUAAACUAGGCUACUAGAUGAUUUGAAGAAUUAAUAAUUGACGAUUCAAAAAUGAUUGACAAAUCCCAUUAAUAUAUAUGGAUUAUUCAGCAAAGGAAAGGAAAAUGAAAGGGAAAAAACAAAUUAUAUGGAUCUCCUAUACUGCCGAAUCGCGGAACGAGGAGCUAUUAGGCUGAAAUUGGGCAUUCUCGAUAUGGGCUCCGGUUCUCCCACAUUGAUUUUCAAUGGUCUAGCAUAUGCAGGUAUAUCAUGGUAACGGCAAAUAUUGACGUUGUUAGCUUACUGAAAAUGCAUAUCAAUCUAUCUCGUAAUGGAAAAUUUUACAUUUACACACAAAAAAUGUGCAUUUUGCAUUCGGUUAAAUUAUUGUGAAAUUACUACAUUACCUUUGUUGGCAUCGAGAAAUUUUGACCAUAUGACCUCAAAAUAAUCAAUCAAAACCAUCAAAUAUUUGUCUUUCUUGCAUGAAUCAAAUUAUUUUUAGUUAGAUCUUCAUAAAGGGAAGGUUAAUUAGGAAGAGUGUAUAGAUGUAAAGAAGAGUAAUAAUUGUUAAUGUGUCCGAAUUUUAGAAAGAAAAGGUUAAUUAGGAAAAGUGUAAAAUUGUAAGGAAGAGUAAUAAUUGUUAAUGUGCACAUAUAUAUGGUAGGUUAGAUGGAAUUUAGGUGUAUUAGCGAAGAUGUUGGUUAGAAAAAAACUAUGAAGAAAACCCUUCUUUUUAUAUGGGGUUUCAAUUAAUUGCGGUAUCAUCUCAAAAAUAUCUUAUUAGGUUAUUUUUUUGGUACUGGGAGAGAUACAUUUGAGUCUAAAUCAACGCAUUAUUGAAUAGAAUCCCCUAACUAACUAAAACAAAGCCAAACUCACUAAGGUUAAAAAAAAUCAUUAAGGUUUUUCCUUUAUUAUUUGAGUAGCUUUACUUAGAAUCUUUUCUCUCGAGGGCAUACAAGAGCCCUUCCUCUCUUCUUCCACUUAGGUUUUUAUUUUCUUUUCUUAGGUUUGUUAAACAAGUAACCUAUAGGCACAUAUUGGGACUUAAUUGUUACCUUUUUGAAAAGAUUAAGUUAAAUCAAGAAAGCAUCUAAAUGUAACAAGCACAAUAAAUGUAAAUUUGAAAUGUGUAAAUGGUAAUCACCAAAUUUAAGUGCACUAAUCAUCCAUCAGUGCCUAAUUUCUUUCUUUUUCAUUCCUUGUGCAAUUGAUAGCUUUUAUAUGGCAAUAUUAUUUCCAUAACUUGUGGUGCUACCCGUAAACUACCCUAACUUACACUUUAAAUAAGGGCAUCAAAGCAUUGAGAUUCACCUUUGCCUUCUCUGCAACACCUUUGCUUUCUUGCUAAUUUGACUCAACAAUGGGUAACUUGUUUUGCAAGAAGACAGGUGAAGGGAACGGGGACAAUGGUUGUUUGACGUGUUUUGGAGUGCAGCAGCCUAUGGAGACAAUUCGUGUUGAGAAAGAGCUUAGAAUGAAAUCCACGAUCACACACCGUUUUCCUGCGGGUUCCAACACCAGUUAUGGCCGUUUUCCCACGGGUUACAACAACAAUUAUGGUUCACAAAGUAGAUAUGUAAACACCUAAACUCGGACAACAUGGCUUGAUAAGUACUUUGGUCAGAUUAGUUGCUUUAACAGUCUAGUAUUGCGUGAGAAUUAUCUAUUCUUAAUUAUCACUAUGUUACUUGGUUUGUUAGGGAAGGAUUAAUAUUAAGGUUUAAUAGUUGUUUUACUUUUGUUCUUUGUCUCCUCAUAAGUCAUGGACUUAUAUUGUGUUGGCAAAGCCUUUUGACUAUGAAUAUUUGGGAUAUGGAUUAUUUUCUUAAAGUUGAUUAGCGAUCCUUGGAGUUAUAUUAUGCGAAUGGCUUGAUUCCCUUGAAGUUGAUAUUUUGUGUUAAAAAUCUGGUGAAUUGCUAGACUGCUUGGGAGGCUGAUCAUCCCUAAUCUUUAUUCUUGUUAGGGUGUUCUCUCUUUUUUUUUUUUUUUUUGGGUUCUUGUUUGAAUGAUAAAGAAGGUUAAUAAAAUUGUGUACAACACAACGUAAACACACACGUAGUAAGCAGACUUCGACAAGGCCAACUUUACAAAAAAAAAUUGAAUAAAAUGAAUCGCUCAAAUAUCAAGUCAGUUUAUUAGAUAUGACCGACCUUUGAUGCAGUAAUUGGUGACAAAGAAUUGGCAAAAUUUGAAUACGAAUUGGUUGGUAUUUUGCAACUCUUUUGGCUCCAUUCUUAACAUGGGGAAACCUCUUGGUGCGUGUCAUUGGACCAAUAUAUGCUUCAUGAAACUUUACUACCAACUUCAAAGGUGUUCUAAUGUUGGAAACCGAAUUGUGAACGUUCUUGAUUUCAAAUUCGUUUUUUUUACUUCUUUGGCUCCCCAGACGAGCAAUUUUCAGCUUCCUCUUCAUUUUAAUUGCAUCUUCGAGUCUUUGAUAUCUCUUUCUCCACAAAUACCUCUUUAAUCCAUCAAAGCAUCCCAAAGGAAGAAUAUCCACUUAGUGUUUUGGUUGAGAAAGAGAGAGAGACCCGGAAAGUUGUGUUGCAUGAAGAUUAAUUUGAAUAGGGCACUAUAUAAUCUGAUAAAUGUCAACCAAAAUAAAAAGUUUGACAAAGAAAAUGUCAAAAUUGGCAUGGAAUUGAAUCUAGUAUGUACCUAUGCUGAGUUCAAUAUUAUUAUAGCAUAACUAAAUAUUGACGGAUUCCAACUCAAGUUACCUAUGUUGCUGCUGAUUCAGGAAACGGGCUAGCCAGAAAUUAUACACAAAACAAAAGAGGCAAAUAGGAAAAAUAAACAAAAUUACUAGCCGGGCUUAUUUUAGUUCAGAUCAAUGAGAAUGGUGCUUGUAACUUUUGCUAUAACUAUGAGUCAAAAUUUGAAUCGGUACAGAAAAAUAAAAAAGAAACACAUUUGACAUUUUCAACUUUUACAAACCGCAAAAGGUGAAAAAAAAAUUUUUUGGUCAAGGCAUCUUGACAAAAAUUUUUAAAUAGAGAAGAAUAGGAUAAGCUAUGCUUAUUCUUACGGUCCUUCUUGAGGACUAGAUAACCUAUGACAGUUGGUAUGGGUACUCAAAACCCCAUUAAAUUGAACUGUAUCAACAUCCAUUAUUAGAAAUAUUGGAUCAUCAUGGCCUAUUGAAUGAAUUGAUGAUUUUAUAUUUAUUUGGUAAUCGCAGUUAUUUUAGUCAUUUAGUUCAACAUUUGUGCAUGAUUUAUGUAGUUUAAAAAGGGUGAGGGAACUUUAAAGAGUAAGAUUCGACCUUCUGAUUGAAUGUUCUAAUUCAUUUGUAAUACCUGUUUCUACCCAUACCCAUGCAUGAAAAUAUAUACAUUGCAUUAUCUCCAAUGCUCAAUAAAUUACGUCUAUCUAGCUAGGUGGAUUAAGAGUUUAAGAUGGUUAUGAAACCCGGAAUGCAAGAAAUGUUAUUCUCAAAAAAAAAGGGGAUGCAAUAAACCUGUAUAAGUUGUUACAUAAAAUUGGACAUCAGUUACAAGGGAAGCAUAAGUUAGACACUAGUUAAACCCAAGAAACCCAUGCCAUUUGAGUCCUUAGGGUGAAUUUGCAAACUGCGGCAAGUUCGUCUCCUUUUGAUCACUAGUUAAACCCAAGAAACCCUCUGAACAUGUUUGGGACUUCUUUGCAUUUGGUUACCAAAGGUGUAGCCUUAAUUGUUUUCAACAUUCUGGAAUAGGCCGAGGCAGUAAUUUACGGUUUUUCAAAAAAGCAUGUCCUAUUUUAGAAAUUUUUCUCCUUUUUGUAAAGCACGAAAACUUCGUUCAAGUACUGUAUUUUAUUUUUCAUUUGUUAUUGUCAAAUUACGAUUAAGAUUCCUCAAAUCAAGUGAAUGAAAAUUCUAGAUUGAUUGGAAAUGAUGGUCAUGAUUUUGGAGAUUAUUAACAACAAGGGUAUGUUUCCAUGUGUAAAUUAUAGCACGUAGACUUGUUUUGCUUGCUUGUUUUACAACCUUAUAAAAUAUUAAUUAAUAUUUUAUACACUGACAGUAUAUAUACUUUCAUCAUUAGAUAUAUGACACAUAAUCUAAAUUUGAAUUUAAAACCUAAAUUUUAUAUGAGUUAAUCUUAUAUACACUGAUAGUGUAUAUAAGAUUAUAAAAUCUUAUCAGUGUUGAAUGAAUGACAAUUAUAUAAAAUUUGAAUUUGAAUUUGAAAUUCAACUUUUGUACACAUGUCAUGAAUCAAACGGUGAUAGUGUAUAUACACUUUCAGUAUAGAAAUGAUUAAUCCAUUUUGUAUAUAUGUCGUGCAUCCAACUGUGAUAGUGUAUACAUCGUCAGUAUAUAUAAUAUUUACUCAUAAAAUAUUGUUAAAGUUCUCAAUCCAUGACUAAGAAUUGAGAGAACAUAAAACUGAAUUUCUGUUAACCUCCCCAAAGACUUGUAACUCACACUUCUGCCAUAUAUAGUUUUUGGUUUUCCUUUUUUAUCCCUUGUUUGAAAGAUGUAGUUAGCCGAUCUUUUUGUAUCCUUAUUUUUAUUCAGGGUGCAAUUCACGAAAGAAUCUCCUAAUUCUCAUUCUUGAAAUAAGGGAUUGAAAAGAGAUUUCCUCAACAUUUUCUGCGCAUGAGCAAUGGGUAGAGCAACAUGUUGUUAAAGAAUUUAUGUUUUGGGGGGGGGGGGGAAUGCUCAUUUCUGAAUUUGCAAUUUAUUGUAAUCUAACACUUGUACAAUUUGGUUAGGCAAGAAUUGCUCGGAUGUUAGCCUAAAUUGUCCGAUUAUUAAAAAAUAUGGACAAAAUUAUACUGUUGGCUAAAUUAUCUUAUGUGCAAGCCAAAUUAGCUCAUGUCCAAUAUUUAUAUGCAUUGAUGCAUAAAAUAAAGGUCACAGAUAUAGAAACAACAACAACCAAACACGAGGCAGCUACAAUAACAUGACUAUGGUUCUUUUGAAUGAGAUACUUACCAAUAGUAGGGUUAGGAACAAGGCACAGGUAAAUAUUGACCUUAUCUGCCAUUUCCCCCACUUCAGCUUCUUUGGUUUCACAAGAUGACCUGCCAAAUUUGCCAAGAGGACAACCACAAGACAGCAGAACACAUACAAUCCCCACGGUGUCAAGGGUUCGGAGAAAGAAGCUACAGGAGGAUUUGUAAAAAUCCCAAAUGUCGUCCUCAUGGAUUGGGUUUGAUAGGCCAACCUUUGGUAGACAUAGAGGACAGGAGGCAAAUGACGAUGCCGUGGGAGAUAGAAAUAGGGAGGAUGGAACAAGGUAACGGGCGGGGGCAGAGGCGGACCGGGGACAGGACGACUGAACUACUUACGACCACCAUGGAGGAUUACGGCUUGCGUUGUGAUUUUCUCCUCUAAUUAAGAAUAUGUUUUGAUUUUUAUGUUUUUUUUUUUUUUUUAUUUUCCCUUCAUUUAUAUUUAGCUUUGCCUCCCUGAACUUAGGCCCUUGUAACACUUUACCUUCCAACCUCCAAAUAUAUACAUUUCACCCCUUAUGGUCAACUUUUUGAUUGGGUUGAAAUGAAGUUAUAUUUUUCAUGACCAAAAUAUUCCUGCCUAAUUCUUAAACACACAUAAUAAUUGUAACAAAAUAAAUACCUAUUUCUUUAAUAGUUGUUAAAUGCAUCUAAAUACAAUUACACUAUCCAUUUCAAAUUUUUUAGCAGUAAAAUGAAUUAGAUAAUUCACCAAAAAAAGCCUAAGAAAUUCAAUGUAUUUAUCUCAACACUCAUAGCAAUACUUAUUUUAAAUGAAAUAAAAUUAAUUAGUGCAUUUAGAAUGAAAUAAUUUUGCUUUAUUCUUUUAUUGUAGCAUUUUUUAUUGUGUUUUGUAUGAGAUAAAAAUGAUUAAAAAUAAAAAUUUAUUGAAAAAUGUAUUUAGAAAAUUUUUAGCUUUUUUAAAUAUACUAUUCAAAUAAAAUAAAAAGCAAGAUGUGAUGCAGUAUAAAAUUACCAAAUAGCAUCUUAUUGACUCGUGAAAAUCUUGUGACAGUUGCAAAUUAAAUGAAAAUUAUCAAAAAUAAUCCGUUUACAAUUUAAAGGAAGAAAGAUAAGUGAUGGAAAACUUGUACAGAUGUUUUAGGAAUUUUUAAAUUCUUUUUUUCUCCACAAUACAAUUUUUCAAUUCUUUGGUAUUAUACCAUCUUUUAUUUUUAAUUUUUUAAAUCAUGUAACUUUGUGCUUUGUCUAAUAAGAUGUUUCAUAUUCCGAUUAAAAGUAUAAUAUUAGUAUAUAAUUAUUAUGUAAGGGAAUUAAUGUGAUUUUGUUAAAAUUUUGGAUGGAGAAUUCAUCAUUGACGACUAGCCAAUGAAAAGGAUAAAGUAUGUUUAGGGGGGUAAAGUGUUAUAAAGGGUUGAAUUUAGGGGGGCAAACUGUAAUUAAUCCUUAUAUUUAUUUAUCUAUUAUCUAUUAUUAUAUAAUAUAAUGAUGUUGCUUCCUUUUUAUAAUUUCUAAUUUACCCUUCACCUAAAGUCAUAUCAUCAUAUUUACUUAUAAUCAUUUCAAGUUCUUUGGUUUUGUUAAGUGGCCUCAUCAACAUUUAUGUUUCUGUUAAGCAGUAAUUAAGAUAUAGGAGUUUAGAAUCCAUAAAGAGCUAUUUAGGGUGGUGCUUUCCGAAUUUGUGAGAUUGAUGGCUUCAACGUAUUAUGGAGGAGUUUGGUGUGAAAACGGAAAUUGGAAAUCCCAGCAAGAAUGCUCUCUGGUUGAUAUAUAUAUAGACUUGGUCUCCUCAUUUCUUUACCAUUUUGUGCUUGCUGCUGCAUGAAUUUGACUAUAUAACACUCAUAAAAAGCAGACUUUGAAGUGUUAUCUAAUUACUACAGUAUUCCUUAGUUGCUUUUUUUUUCUUAGCUUCUUGGAACACUAUUGAACAUUUCGUUUUUUGAUGUUUCCGUCGACUCUCAAUAGGAAUGUGAAUUAGUCCUCAAGUGGCCGCCAUAUUCUCUUUAGUUCACAAAAGUACUCAACAAUUGCCCCAGUAAGCUGGCCUGAGUUAAAUUUGAACAUAUAGUCUGAAUCAGUACUUGACUGUAAAAGGGCAAUAAAGAACUCAGUUGCCGGCAAAUAUGAGGAAAAGUUUAUUAUAGUUGAUGGGGCUUCAUUCCUUCUCAAGGAUGAUACGAUUUACAAGAACUGUAGAGAAGAAUAAAGGCUGCAUCUUUAGGUGCAUUCACGAGGAGUGAAAUAGUACAAACAAUGAAUUAAACUUGGAGAGUAGGGGAUUGAAAAGAAGAGUUACUCGUUCAUGCAAGACUCUGAAUGCCAUCGAUCCAAUGUCAUGGCGUAGACAGUCAAGAAUAAAAGAUGAGGAGAAAAUAAUUGAUUAUUCACCAUCAAAGACAAUUUGAUCAGUAAAGUUCUGGGAUGAGGGAUGAUUGCUGAUCACGUGUAGAAACCACUCUUUUGUAGAUUUCCACCACAGCUCGACUGUCAACCAUUUCAUUGGUUGGUCCCGACACCAUUGGAAUUGGUUUGCAUUUUGCAGCUCUUUUGGCUUCAUUGCUAACAUGGUCAAUUCUUUUGGUGCCUGCCAAACGUAUCAUUGCAUCCAUAUAUGCUUCAUGAAGCCUUGCUACCAGCUUCACGGGUGUAAUAAUCUUGAACCUGAAUUUCUCAACUUUCUUGAUCUUCACUUCCUUUUGGCUGUUUCUCUUGCUCCCUAGCCUUGCAAUCUUCAGCUUCCUUUUCAUCUUAAUUGAAUCAUCCAAUCUUUGGUAUCUCCUCCUCCUCCAGCACCUCUUUAAUCCGUCCAAGUAUCCAAAAGGAAGGAUAUCCAUUUUCCUUUUUUUUUCGAAUGUGUGUACUAGAACGUGUUUUUGUGAGCUAGAUAGAAAAGGAAUUCUUGUGUUAC